rnacentral:rRNA from 1 species
GACGAACGCUGGCGGCGUGCUUAACACAUGCAAGUCGAACGGAAAGGCCCUGCUUUUGUGGGGUGCUCGAGUGGCGAACGGGUGAGUAACACGUGAGUAACCUGCCCUUGACUUUGGGAUAACUUCAGGAAACUGGGGCUAAUACCGGAUAGGAGCUCCUGCUGCGUGGUGGGGGUUGGAAAGUUUCGGCGGUUGGGGAUGGACUCGCGGCUUAUCAGCUUGUUGGUGGGGUAGUGGCUUACCAAGGCUUUGACGGGUAGCCGGCCUGAGAGGGUGACCGGCCACAUUGGGACUGAGAUACGGCCCAGACUCCUACGGGAGGCAGCAGUGGGGAAUAUUGCACAAUGGGCGGAAGCCUGAUGCAGCAACGCCGCGUGCGGGAUGACGGCCUUCGGGUUGUAAACCGCUUUCGCCUGUGACGAAGCGUGAGUGACGGUAAUGGGUAAAGAAGCACCGGCUAACUACGUGCCAGCAGCCGCGGUGAUACGUAGGGUGCGAGCGUUGUCCGGAUUUAUUGGGCGUAAAGGGCUCGUAGGUGGUUGAUCGCGUCGGAAGUGUAAUCUUGGGGCUUAACCCUGAGCGUGCUUUCGAUACGGGUUGACUUGAGGAAGGUAGGGGAGAAUGGAAUUCCUGGUGGAGCGGUGGAAUGCGCAGAUAUCAGGAGGAACACCAGUGGCGAAGGCGGUUCUCUGGGCCUUUCCUGACGCUGAGGAGCGAAAGCGUGGGGAGCGAACAGGCUUAGAUACCCUGGUAGUCCACGCUGUAAACGGUGGGUACUAGGUGUGGGGUCCAUUCCACGGGUUCCGUGCCGUAGCUAACGCUUUAAGUACCCCGCCUGGGGAGUACGGCCGCAAGGCUAAAACUCAAAGGAAUUGACGGGGCCCCGCACAAGCGGCGGAGCAUGCGGAUUAAUUCGAUGCAACGCGUAGAACCUUACCUGGGUUUGACAUGGAUCGGGAGCGCUCAGAGAUGGGUGUGCCUCUUUUGGGGUCGGUUCACAGGUGGUGCAUGGCUGUCGUCAGCUCGUGUCGUGAGAUGUUGGGUUAAGUCCCGCAACGAGCGCAACCCUUGUUCACUGUUGCCAGCACGUUAUGGUGGGGACUCAGUGGAGACCGCCGGGGUCAACUCGGAGGAAGGUGGGGAUGACGUCAAGUCAUCAUGCCCCUUAUGUCCAGGGCUUCACGCAUGCUACAAUGGCUGGUACAGAGAGUGGCGAGCCUGUGAGGGUGAGCGAAUCUCGGAAAGCCGGUCUCAGUUCGGAUUGGGGUCUGCAACUCGACCUCAUGAAGUCGGAGUCGCUAGUAAUCGCAGAUCAGCAACGCUGCGGUGAAUACGUUCCCGGG